GUCAUCAAAUGAUGAUAAAUCAAUUUAAUCUUAGGACACCAUUGGACACAACUUUUAGUUGUGGGUGAGAAAACCAUUUUUCUGAUGAUGAC